rnacentral:rRNA from 1 species
CCUUAGAUGUUCGAGGCUGCACGCGCGCUACAAUGGUAUGGUCAACGAGUCCCUGGCUCGAAAGGGCUGGGGAAUCACAUGAAUCUAUAUCGUGCUGGGGAUAGAUGAUUGCAAUUAUUCGUCUUCAACGAGGAAUUCCUAGUAAGUGCACUUCAUCAGAGUGCGCUGAUUGCGUCCCUGCCCUUUGUACACACCGCCCGUCGCUCCUACCGAUUGAACGGUCCGGUGAAAUCUACGGAUACCGGGACCUAAGGGGCAACCCUGAGUCCUAGUAGAAGUUGAGUAAACCUUACUGUUUAGAGGAAGGAGAAGUCGUAACAAGGUU